rnacentral:rRNA from 1 species
GAUGAACGCUGGCGGCGUGCUUAACACAUGCAAGUCGAACGGAAAGGCCACAGCUUGCUGUGGUACUCGAGCGGCGAACGGGUGAGUAACACGUGGGUGAUCUGCCCUGUACUUCGGGAUAAGCUUGGGAAACUGGGUCUAAUACCGGAUAGGAAUCACAUGUGGGUGUGUGGUUGGAAAGCUUUUGCGGUAUGGGAUGAGCUCGCGGCCUAUCAGCUUGUUGGUGGGGUAAUGGCCUACCAAGGCGUCGACGGGUAGCCGGCCUGAGAGGGUGUACGGCCACAUUGGGACUGAGAUACGGCCCAGACUCCUACGGGAGGCAGCAGUGGGGAAUAUUGCACAAUGGGCGCAAGCCUGAUGCAGCGACGCCGCGUGGGGGAUGACGGCCUUCGGGUUGUAAACUCCUUUCGUCAGGGACGAAGCGAAAGUGACGGUACCUGGAUAAGAAGCACCGGCUAACUACGUG